rnacentral:lncRNA from 1 species
UACUGUUGUGCAUAUCAAUCAUAGCUCUCUGGGAUGCCGCCAUCCACUCAAAACUGUAGUCACACACCGCUCGUAGGUAGGGAUCAAGUCCGGGAGUAGAAGCACUAGGACCAUCAGAAGCCCGAGUACUUCCUGAGGCUGCACUGCCACCGGUAGUCUUUGGUCUACAAUAUUUAGCCACAUACCGAUCAUCGAUAGGUGCCGGGAUCCUAACCUGCCCACGAGACGGAAGUCUCACCCUUGCCUGAACGCAUAAACUCAUGAUCAAACACGGGAAAGCCAGG